UACGUAGGGCGCAAGCGUUAUCCGGAAUUAUUGGGCGUAAAGCGCGCGUAGGCGGCCCGGUAAGUCCGCUGUGAAAGUCCAGGGCUCAACCCUGGAAAGCCGGUGGAUACUGCCGGGCUAGAGUCCGGGAGAGGCGAGUGGAAUUCCUGGUGUAGCGGUGGAAUGCGCAGAUAUCAGGAGGAACACCUAAGGCGAAGGCAGCUAGCUGGAACGGUACUGACGCUGAGGCGCGAAAGCGUGGGGAGCAAACAGG
rnacentral:rRNA from 1 species